CCUACGGGUGGCAGCAGUGAGGAAUAUUGGUCAAUGGGCGCGAGCCUGAACCAGCCAAGUGGCGUGAGGGAUGACUGCCCUACGGGUUGUAAACUUCUUUUAUAAAGGGAUAAAGUGAGGCACGUGUGCCUUUUUGUAUGUACUUUAUGAAUAAGGAUCGGCUAACUCCGUGCCAGCAGCCGCGGUAAUACGGAGGAUCCGAGCGUUAUCCGGUUUUAUUGGGGUUAAAGGGAGCGUAGAUGGGUUGUUAAGUCCGUUGGGAAAGUUUGGGGCUCAACCGUAAAAGUGCAAUUGAUACUGGCAGCCUUGAGUACAGUGGAGGUAGGCGGAAUUCGUGGUGUAGCGGUGAAAUGCUUAGAUAUCACGAAGAACCCCGAUUGCGAAGGCAGCCUACUAAACUGCCACUGACAUUGAUGCUCGAAAGUGUGGGUAUCAAACAGGAUUAGAUACCCUUGUAGUC
rnacentral:rRNA from 1 species